rnacentral:lncRNA from 1 species
UUGUUGCUUGUUAUUUUUUAUUUAGAUACAGAGGAUAUUUCAAAAAGAUUUAUUAAUAUUACUUUUUACGUAUACUGUGCGGGUAUCAGCCCCACGACAAGUCAAUAAGAUAAGAUAAGAAAGACAGAAGGGAGAAAUUUUACUCAGUUUAGAAGCAACUCUUGCAAUAGAAAGAAAAUGAAAAAAUGAUCAGCUUGUGACUA